AUGUCACAUAAUCCAUCGUGUGGUUUCAGAAUUGGCUUAGAUUAUCCCAUUCUUUACAUACACUUGAAUGGUAUGUUUGUGCUAAGUAUAGUACUUGUGUUAAUGAUAAAUCUAUGUUUCUGCUCAUAUCUAGUCUACAUUUUUAGUGAGAUGAUGAUGAUGAUGAUGAUGAUACUGGUAGUUUUCUUAAUUUUCUUUUACUCAUUUGCUUUGAAACGUGUCUGCUGUCUUGGGUGA